GCCAGGUAGGGUGGCACGUGCCUGUAGUUCUAGCUACCUGAGAGGCUGAAGUGGGAGGAUCACUUGAGCCCAGAAGUUCUGGGUUGUAGUGCACUGUGCCAGUCAGGUGGACACUAAGUUUGGCAUCAAUAUGAUGACCUCCCAGUAUUAGGGGACCACCAGGUUGCCUCAGGAGGAGUGAACCAGCCCAGAUCUGAAAUGAAGCAGAUCAAAACUCCUGUGUUGGUCAGUACUUGGAUCAUGCCUUAUGAAUAGCCACUGUACUCUCCAGCCUGGGCAAUGUAGUGAGACCCUAUCUCU
rnacentral:SRP_RNA from 1 species